rnacentral:lncRNA from 1 species
CUGAUUGAUCAUUUAGUAUUUGGUUGGACCUUAAAUAGGGUUGAUAAAAAUUGUGGGCUCCUAGUGUUGUAUCUUAUGACCAUAUAAAAUUGAAAUGAUUUUUUGACCCUGAGUUAUAGGUUGGUGCAUAAGAUUCAUUUAUGUAGCUUUCAUUGAAUGUACUCUCCUGUAUUAACUCAAUUUGGGUUGGAUUCAUCAAAUAAGAACACU